rnacentral:rRNA from 1 species
CAAACCUCUUGCCUGUGCUCUCUGACCGUUCUGCGGUGCGUGCGUCUAGCUGAUCCUAACAACGUCUACUUUGCUGUAAUUCUCUGGCCAAGGUUCUUGUUGUAAUGUACGUACAGAGUUAGUUGAACACGGGUGCCAUCAACUCGUGUACGUAUUUUUGGUGGGGACCGGGAGCCAACAAUUAACGCGACAUGUGUGACUAACUUCGACUCGAUGACUCGCCGCUCGGACCUAUUUCCUAGCUACCGGCCGCCGCUCCGUCGUCGUGGCAACGACCUCUUCUUCUGCCGCCAGAUGGCACUUCCCACAGGCCCUACGCGGCACCUCGCCUCCUUCUGCGACUUGGGGCCGCAGGGGAUGUUCCUUAAGAAGGUGUAGACCUGGUAGUAGGAGCAGAGUACAAACGGUUAUAGCAGCGAUAAGGGGAAGAACAUAAAGUACUAUGCUCUGAACGUGUAACGGUUUUGUCAUCUCCUGUAACCUAAGAUACGACCCAAACAUCCACGGAGGAUAUACGAACCAUCUUGAAAUUGGAGGUGCCGAACCCCCUACCAUCGUCUGGCGUAACCCUCUUUCGGUCAAUAACACGAACCUUAAAAGAGGCACAAAGAUAAGUCACGAAAUAAGCCUGAUUCACACGUAAUGACCUACCGUUAUAGAUGUGCUAAAGAAGAACCAAGAAACUUGCCGUAUUAACCUGGAUAUGCUCGAAUACGAUAACUUCAAACAGCUGGUCUCGUGGUACGAUAACGUAAUAGUGAACAAUCGUGUCGUACCCGUUAUCCAGAUUAACAUCCUGGUUGCUAACCGCCUAUAGAACGUGUCCAUAGGUACCUUUGACAUCAUUAUGUACUCAAUGACAUAGGAUAUAAUUAGUUAAGUAUAAUACACAAUGUAAAUGAAAAAACUAUCGGAUGUCUUUUUAUAGGUUUCAAUAAAGGGCAGCUGAGUAAUAAGCCUUCCAUAAAAAACAAUGACACUUCAAUAAAUGGCAGAUGAGUAAUAGGAAGUUGAAUAAUUGAUAACUUUAUAAAAAAAAUCCAAGGGUAUAAAGAAUGGAACAGACACAUAUAGUCAGAAGUCGAAAGGACAAGAUUAUUCGACGUAAACCGAGGGCCCAGAUUUAUUACCCUUCAUAGGCUACCAACACGUGACUAGGCUACCAUACGAUCCUAGUCAUCAGGCUACAGAUGAGUGCAGUUUCUAAAAUAACAUUAGUUCGAGUAGCAAAAUGGUAAAGUUGAAAAUAGUGGUUGAAGACCCAAGUCAUUUACAGUCCUCUGUGAUGUAUUGGUGUUGUGACUGCUUUUCCUUCUAGUUCGCUCACUUAGAAACUGACGUAAAAAAAGAUUAAGUCUUCUCUAACAGCUCGUAUUAUAAUGAAGUUGUUACUUUUUGUUACAUAACUUCUUGACCGGUAACUACAGUAGAUAAUAAGACAAAACAUAGCACAGGAAACUACUGUACCGUAUAAGUCUCUAUAAGAGGAAUACCCGACUUUCACCGUCUUUCAUACCACCUGAUUCAAAGAGCAGACUCCUACAACCAGUUCAAGAACGUUAAUGUCCACAAUCGUAAGAACAUAUGGUUUGUAAAUAAAAGGGGGCAUAAUAGUCUCAAGACCCUGGUUAGUUAUGAAGAGCACAACGCUAAUCGUACAGAUACCACGAAGACAAAUGUAUACGUGGUUAGUGUGUAGAAAGUUCUGGAACCAGCAGUUAUCGUCAUUUGUAACGUAGCUAAGAAUUUUUAUUAAAGGAAUAAUGGUAACAAUGAUCAAGUAAGUAAGAAGUCUUAUUAAGACACUGAGUUCUAGUUUCUCGUUGACGUUUAUCGAAUCGGUGGUGAAAUUACAGGAAAACAUUUUGUAAGCGAGGUCGUCCUCGACCUUAACACAAAAGUACCCGUGUCUUUGCGGUUGUACAAAAGAAAAAAGGUCCACUGGUCUACAACAAAAAAGAAAACCGGCAACAGCUCGAACACCCUGAACAAACCUGUAAGUUCGGCAAAGAACAACACGGGCUAGUUAAACGAAGUUUAAUCGUGAAACCUAAACAUGCAUGAUAAUACUCACGUGCGUACAUAGCAUGAGAAGAAUGUUUUGAUAUAGGCCAUAUGCGCGAAGCUUAACCCAACAUUACAUUAAUGUACCAAUCCUAAAACCUCAUCGAUUUUAUUCAUCUUUCGGUAAAAGUUCACGGUAAUAAUAGAGGGACGUUUUUUGUCACGGUAAUAAAUAAUUAAUGUCUUUUUUAUGUUACUUAGUUUUCGUGGGG